UACGGGGGGGGUAAGCGUUGUUCGGAAUUACUGGGCGUAAAGGGCUCGUAGGCGGUCAACUAAGUCAGACGUGAAAUCCCUCAGCUUAACUGGGGAACUGCGUCUGAUACUGGAUGGCUUGGAUUCGGGAGAGGAAUGCGGAAUUCCAGGUGUAGCGGUGAAAUGCGUAGAUAUCUGGAGGAACACCGGUGGCGAAGGCGGCAUUCUGGACCGAUAUUGACGCUGAGGAGCGAAAGCCAGGGGAGCAAACGGG
rnacentral:rRNA from 1 species